GAUGAACGCUGGCGGCGUGCUUAACACAUGCAAGUCGAACGGGAUCCAUCAAGCUUGCUUGGUGGUGAGAGUGGCGAACGGGUGAGUAAUGCGUGACCGACCUGCCCCAUACACCGGAAUAGCUCCUGGAAACGGGUGGUAAUGCCGGAUGCUCCAGUUGAUCGCAUGGUCUUCUGGGAAAGCUUUCGCGGUAUGGGAUGGGGUCGCGUCCUAUCAGCUUGACGGCGGGGUAACGGCCCACCGUGGCUUCGACGGGUAGCCGGCCUGAGAGGGCGACCGGCCACAUUGGGACUGAGAUACGGCCCAGACUCCUACGGGAGGCAGCAGUGGGGAAUAUUGCACAAUGGGCGCAAGCCUGAUGCAGCGACGCCGCGUGAGGGAUGGAGGCCUUCGGGUUGUAAACCUCUUUUAUCGGGGAGCAAGCGAGAGUGAGUUUACCCGUGAAUAAGCACCGGC
rnacentral:rRNA from 1 species